UACGGAGGAUGCAAGCGUUAUCCGGAAUGAUUGGGCGUAAAGGGUCCGCAGGUGGCAGUGUAAGUCUGCUGUCAAAGAAUGAGGCUUAACCUCAUCAAGGCAGUGGAAACUACACAGCUAGAGUACGGUCGGGGUAGAAGGAAUUCCUGGUGUAGCGGUGAAAUGCGUAGAGAUCAGGAAGAACACCGGUGGCGAAGGCGGUCUUCUGGACGGUGACUGACGCUGAGGCGCGAAAGCGUGGGGAGCAAACGGG
rnacentral:rRNA from 1 species